rnacentral:misc_RNA from 1 species
GAUGAAGAACGUAGCGAAAUGCGAUACGUAAUGUGAAUUGCAGAAUUCAGUGAAUCAUCGAAUCUUUGAACGCAUAUUGCGCUCUCUGGUAUUCCGGAGAGCAUGCUUGUUUGAGUAUCAGUAAACACCUCAACUUCCAUAUCUUUUUUGAAAUGGGAGUUGGACUUGAGUGAUCCCAACGCUUUUCCUCACCGAAAAGUGGCGGGUUACUUGAAAUGCAGGUGCAGCUGGACUUUUCUCUGAGCUAUAAGCAUAUCUAUUUAGUCUGCCUAAAAAACAGAUUAUUACCUUUGCUGCAGCUAACAUAAAGGAGAUUAGUUCUUGUGCUGACUGAUGCAGGAUUCACAAAGACGGCUUCGGCCGACUUUGUAAACUCGAUCUCAAAUCAAGUAAGACUACCCGCUGAACUUAAGCAUAUCAAUAGGGAGGA